ACUAAAAUAAAAUAUUAUUACAAUGGGAUAAAAUUAUUAAAUAAAGUUAAUAAAAUAUUAUUACAAUGAGGUUCGGGGAAGCCCCAACCCCCCCCUGAACAACGAGUUUCGGGGGGCUGGGGCUCCCCCGAACCCUGUUGUUCGGGAGUUGGGGGUUCCCCCGAACACUGAGAUUCGGGGGUGCGGGUUCCCCGAACGCCUAGGUUCGGGCGGUAACCAAGCAUCGACCGGCUUCUAGGAACUCCGAUGUGUCCCAACACUAUCGCAUCUAUAUGAAAUCAAACUAGAAGGCAAAUUUUUUAUCUGGUUAUGCAAUUUGGGGGAUUCCAACAGGCUAUACGAGACAAGCAAAGUGGGCGAGGCAAACAAAAUCGGCGGCGCGGUCACAGAAGAAGAAGAAGGAGAAGGAGACGGAGAAGAAGAAUAAUAGGAUUUGAUGCGCGUGGGCGUAGUUUUUAAGGGUUGAGUGUGUGAAGGGCAUAUUUGGCAUGUAAAUGGUUGCAAAAAAUAAUAAGUGUGGCUGCAAAUAGUAAAAUUUAAUAUUUUAAUUAGACUGGUUACGAAUAGCAAAUUCUAUGGUUGCAAAUAGAAUUUUCCUUAGGAUUAUGCUACACGUCCGACUUUGUUGACAAUGAAAUUACAUAUCAACCCUGAAUGUAAAUUACAAAUUCGCCCUCCACCAAAUCACCUCUCUCACUCUCUGAUUCUCUCCCAUGUCACUCUCUCUGUCACGAAAUUCUUGCAAUCAUACGUUUUGCUUUUCACGACCCACUUUUAAUAUUUCUAAAAUACCCUAAAAUGAAAUUUCAUAUUUACCCUUCAUUUAAAUCUUUGACGCUUAAUCACCCAUCAUUACUCUUCAAGCGCGUUCACUCACUUUCUCGACCACGAUCACCAUAGUCACUUUACUCACCCACUAAACAUCACACAACCACUAUUAUUUAACACUUAAUAUUAUGCAAUCACUAUUAUUCAACACCAAACAUUGCUCAGGCCAGUUCUCCUCGCCAUAACCAAUUACCAGUACUAUCAGCAGUUACUACUAGCGAUGGAAGAUUAUUAUCCACUAUUAUUUACGUAGAGUUUGACGAAAAAGAUAACGAGUAUUCCUGUUUCAGUGAGAAACAAUACAAUUUACAACAUUUAUCUCCAGUUCAAUAACAUAAUUUACAUAUACAUAGACGAGGAAUGAAUUAAAAAAAUAAAAUUAAUUAAAAAAUAAAAAAUACGCCUUGAAACUCACCCCGAACUUUGGGGUUCGGGGGCUAGGGAAUGCCCCGAACCUCGGGGUCAGGGUUGGGGGAUGCCCCAGAACCCCAGGAUUCGGGGGCUAGGGGAUGCCCCGAACCUUGGGGUUCGGGGAACCCCGAAUUUCAGGGUUCGAUAAGCACCCUAAAUUCAUAGAUUUGGGAAAAAUCAAUUCUCCCGAAUUCAUGAAUUCAGAAAAAAUUAUUUACCCCGAAAUUAUGAAUUCGAGAACCUCAGGGUUAUAGAGAAUGCAAAUGUAUAUAAUAUAUUAUAACUAUAUUCAUAUAUAUAUAGUAAUUUUAUAUAAAUUAUUUUAAAUGUAUAUAAAUUAUUCCGAAUCAUCAUGCCCCAAAUAUUUGGAUUAAUAUUAUAUUUAUUUUUUCUUGAAUUAAUAUUGUUUUAAUUUUAUUUUUUUAGUUAAAUACAAAUCUAAAUAAAAUUAUAUUUAUUUUUAUUUAUUUAAAAUUUAUAUUAAAUUUAUGACAUUUUAUUAUAAAUUAAAUAAAAUUAAUUUAAAUAAAAUCUAAUAAUAAAUACUAAAAUAAAAUAUUAUUACAAAUAAUAAUAAUACAUGUUAAAAAGUUAAGAAAAGAAGAAGGAAGAGGAGGAGAAGGUUUGAUGCGUGUGGGAUGUCUUUUUUGAGGGAUAAUAUUUGGAGAGUGUAUUUGAAAUAGAAAUAGUUGUAGAAAAUAAUAAAUGUAAUUAUAAAUAAUAAAAUUUAAUAUUUUAUUUUACAUUGAUUAUGAAAAAAAAAAAUAAUGAUUACAAAUAGUAUUUUCCUUCACUCUCACCUUUCGACGGAGACCCCAUUUCCACCGCACUCUAACUCUCUCUUUCACUCUUAGCUUUCGAAAAUCGCCAUUACUGCCACACUCUCACUCUCUCUCACUUUCAUCUUUCGGAAACCCCCAUUACCGCCACACUCUCACUCUCUCUUUCACUCGCUCUCUCUGCAACGCCAGAUCGACCACUACCUUUCUCUCGGAGCUCAGCCUCACUGCCUCCUCCAAGUCGGCCACCACCUGAUUCGCCCUCCACCGACGGUUCAACACCAGAUCGGCCACCCACACUCUCACUCGUCGGUACUGGAAAAAGAUAGUGAGCCGACCUGUAAUUUUUCUGGCUUCAUCUGUCAUUGUCGCCGACGACGAUCUUGAAUGCACUUCACCCCCACUGGCUUUAUCUUGCACCUCGCCGAUCUCUCACAGUUUGCCCAUGUCUUAUAGUGUAACAGCCUUCUACACACAUUAGAUUCAAUUUUUAUUUUGUUAUUUAACAUUAGACUUAACCAGAUUUUAUGUUCAGUUGUUAAUUUUUUCUAGAUUUGAUGUUAAUUUUUAUUUAACAGUUAUUAAAAUAAAAAAUUAGUGAUGUUAGCUAACAUGAGUGAUGUUAAAUAAAAAUUAGAUUUGAUGUUUCCAGAUUUGAAGGUUGUUAGCUAUAGGGUUGUUAAAUAAAAAAAUUAAUAAUAUUAUAUUUUUUAGAUUUGAUGUUAGCAGUAGGGUUUAUGCAUGAGUGAUGUUAAUGACCAAAUUUUGUGUUUAGUUGCUAUUAUUUUUUAUAUUUUAUUGCCGACAAUCGAUUCUAUUUUAGAAAACGAAGAAAACCAACAAUGAGUGACAUAGGUAUAAAUUUUUCUCCCAAAUCUGGCACAACUUCCUCAAACUACAACCAUAUAAAACAAGUUUGUUAAAGGAAUGUAUGUGGAUAAUGUAAAUUAUAAAUCUAACAUUAUAUUCUCAUAUGAUCAUAUCUUGUUUUGAAAAUUAUACUGUGCUUGUGGAAUCAUUCAAACAUAAUGAGAGAUCUUUGGUUGAUAAUGAGCAAAUUAUCGAAGAUAAUAAGUGUCCUGUAUUAAAUGACGAACUAUUAGGAGAAGAUAGUGAUCUUAUCUCUAAGAUUGGAAUGAAGUUCAAUGACGAGAAGAAAGUUUUUGAAUUUUAUAAAAGAUAUGUUUACCACGUGAGUUUUUCUGUUAAAAGUAGUUUGAAGAAGGGCGAUGAUGGGGUGGUAAGAUAUGUGGGAUAUGCAUGUAAUCGAGAAGGCAAAAGAAAUAUUAAAGCUAGCACCUCUUUGAACUCUCAACCAACAAUUUAGUUAGGGUGUAAAGCUAGGAUGGUAGCAGAUUCAGAUGUUUUAGGGACAUGAGGAAUAAACAUGGUCCAUCUUGAGCAUAACUAUAAAACAAGUCUAACGAAGUCUAGGUUAUAUCGAUGCAACAGACAAUUAAGCAAACAUGUGAAGCGACAACUUAAAGCGAAUCAUAUAGCUGGAAUUCCAUUACCCAAAAGUUUUAAUUCAGCUAUUGUUAAAACUAGUGGAUAUGAGAACCUGACGUUUAUGGAAAAAGAUUGCAGGAAUUACUUUGAUCAAGUGAGGAGUUAAGACAUGGGAAAUGAGAUGUUGCUGCUAUUCAAGCUUACUUUUGAAGAUGCAAGCCUUUUAUCUGGGUUUUUACUUUAGUGUGGAUUUGGAUGAAAAAUGUUGAUUGAAGAACAUCUUUUGUGCUGAUAAUAGGUGUAGACAAGUAUUCAAGGAAUUCAGUGAUGUCACAUUUGACAUCACAUACCUGACCAUUAGGUAUGAUAUGCCGUUUGUUUCAUUCGUUGGUGUAAAUCGCCAUGGACAGCUGACACUGCUUGGAUGUGGUAUAAUUUUCAACAAGGACACCAAGACUUUCGUGUGGCUUUUUAGGACAUAGCUUGAGUGUAUAUGGAGGAUUAGGCCCUUACAAGAAUAAUCACUGAUCAAGAUAGGGCCAUGCAAAAUGCUAUUGAGAUAGUCUUUUCUAACACAAAGCAUAGAUGGUGCUUGUGGCAUAUAUUAAAGAAGUUACCUGAAAAAUUUGGGAACCAUAGUUGCAAGGCUUAUAUUCUUUCGAUCGUACAUGACACGGUGUAUGAAUUACAACAGUUCUGGAGAAUUUGAGUAGGCCUGAAAUUCAAUGAUUGAGCAAUAUACAUUGCAUGACAACGAUUGGUUGUAUGGACUUUAUAGAGAAAGAAGUUGAUGGGUCCCAUGUUUCUUGAAAACUAGUUUUUGGGCAGGGAUGCUAACAAUGCAGCGAAGUGAGGGUAUGAACACAUUUUUCGAUGAAUAUAUACACUCGAAAACCUCGUUGAAGCAAUUUGUUGAACAAUAUGAGCGGGUAAAUGAGCCCCUAGGAAGCUUCGCAAUAAGGGCCCAUUGAAAACAAGUACCAAGAAAGCGAAUAUAGGAUCCUCGAAAUCAAGUAAAGGCAAGGUCCUGAGGCAAAACAUUAUUUAAGAUGCUCAAGCAUUCAAUCAAACUUUUCCACAAGAUGCACAAUAUCACGCGCUUCCACCAAUCUCCCACUCACAACAAUUGAUGGCCGGUGCUUGGUGCGACGGAGGAGAAAAUGGGAGCGAGGGGGUCGAGGAGCGCGAGGAAGGUGGUGGCUAAUGACCAGACCUAGAAUGAUGCUUUAUUUCUUGCUUCCACCCAUACCAAGCUGCAGAUCAUAUUCAUGUCUAACUUUAUACCAAAAGAAUUAUUUCAUAGUUUAUUGUAAAUAAAGUUGGCAUUUGGUAAAUAAUAUAGAAGUAAGUUGUGUGAAAAGUAAAGCCUGAAGGAUUAUCUUGAUUUUCCCGAGAUAAUUGCAUUUUUUUGAUAAAGUAGGGCUGGCUUUACUUUCACAUUGGUGAUAGAUGAUUUGUGAACUUUUGGAAAGGAAAGGCAAACGGUGAAGCACGUUUCUAUUCAAAACUUGGUGAAAUCUUUUUUUGCCAUUUUAGAGAUGGAUGAUGAUGUGGUCAGUUUAUUUUUUGAAACUAUGCUCUAUCACUGGCAUCCUCAGCCACCUUACCCCUAGAGUUAUAUUGAGGAGAUAAAUCGCAGGAUGUGACCAAGUGACUAGGGUGGUAGGCCUUUGGCCCCUUACUGAUGUCACCCCCAAGGUCCUCCCUCAGAAAGAAACAUUAUGCUUCUCCAGGAAUCGAACCCACACUGGGAGCCCUCAAUCAAGCUUUUCAGCCCCUUGCCACUUGGUCACUUUAUUUGCAUUAAUGUUGAUGGAGCAAGGUUUGUUUUCAUCUCGCUUGUUGCAUUUCUGCAUAUACUUAUUUUUGGUUUGUAAUUUUUGUCUACAUGGAACAUUUUAAUGUUUAUGCUAUCAAAGCUUAAUCAUAUCAUUGGAAAAAGAGUAAUGCUAUUUGGCCAUUCUCAAAGCCACCCAACGAAAUCUCGCGAUAUUUUGAUGAGAUAUUGCGAUAUAUUUUCAAUGAAAAGAGCUGCCCAAAAUUUCAAAUUUGUCUUCUCUCUCUCACCCUCUCUCGUGUUCCUUUCUGUUCAUCCUUCUUCUUCCCCCCCCUCUCUCUCUUUCUCUCUCCCGUCCGUUGCACGUCUCCAUUGGCUCUGAUCUAGAAGGAGGUAAGUCUUUUAAACCUAUUCACAAUGAGUUUCAGCACGAAUGCAUGAUAUAUACGUAUAUAUGCGCUAUUUGGGUUUGGCCGAAACUUUAAACUUAGAUCUACGGAGUUUCGACCGUUGGAUCUUAUUGGUUUUUGGGUAUGUUGGUUGAUGGGCCUUUGGGUGUCGGGUGGUUGCCUCUGAUCCUAGGAAAGCACCAGCCACGGUGGUCGGUGGCCACUGACAGUGCGUAUAUACGCGUUAUUGGGGUUUGGCUGAAACUUUAAACUUAGAUCUACGGAGUUUCGGCUAUUGGAUCUUGCUGGUUUUUGGGUAUGUUGGUCGAUGAGCCAUUGGGUGUCGGGCGGUUGCCUCUGAUCGCUGGAAACCAUUGACCAUUGUGGCCGGUGGCCACUGAUAGUGCGUUUUGAAGUUGUGAUCGAAAAUUAAAAAUUAGAUUUACUAAAAUCCAACCGUUAAAUUUUACUCACUUUUUUAUAUGUUAAUCCUCUUGACUUGGUGUUUCUAAUGGGAAACUUCGAUCGUGAGAAUCUUCAGCGAACGAUGGUCGUUGGAGGCCGCUGGCAGUGGUGUCGUGACUGAUGAAAUUGGAUCAAGCCAUGCAUAAGACAUUGGUGACUUUACCUUGUCAUCGUUAAAUUUUGCCCAGAAUCGAGCUGUGGCUCUCUCGUACGGAUCUUCAGGACCGGAACCUUUUUGUGAACUGGGUUGUACUGGAGGAGUAGCUGGCUUUUGUUUGAAAGAUCCUCAAAUAUGGUCUCAUAAUCUAUGCCCUUAAGCUCCAAUGCCCAAACUAUUCUCAGAGCAUAUGGACUUGACCAUGUCCUGAAAAGCUUAACUUCGGACAUAACUCUUUUUUGAUUGUGAAACUGUGAUUGUUGCGCUUUUUUGAUUGUGGAACUAUGAUUAUUGAGAUUUUUUAUACAUGAGAUGGAAUGCUCUUAUCCUGCUCUGACUUUUCUAGAUAUUCGGAUAUUCUCUUUUCUCUUAGUUCCAAACUUAAGUUUCUACGUUGAACAGGCCAUCAAGUUAUCCCCUUGUAAGAUGAGUGUUUGAUCAUGUGGAGUUCUUUUAUUCUUUGGACAGAUGCGUGUUGGUCUCUCAUAGUUAAAAGAUUCUUUCCUCCUAGAUUUUAACAUAAGUUUGUCCAUUAGACAUUGUUUUAGCUGUCUGAAUUUAUGCUAUUGUCGUGACAGGGGAUUUGAUGCUAAGUAUUAUAUUAAUUAUUUGGAUAAAUGUCUACCUUAGUAAUCUAUUGAGGAAAUCUUGGGUAUAUUAUUAGUUGUUCCCAUGAACCCAUAAGUCACCUUCAACUAGCACUUAUGGAUAAGGACAUGUGGUAUUAUAAGUGGUAUCAAAAGCCAAUGCAGAAUCACUAUCGGGUGGGUGCUUGCCAAGAAAGUAUUUUGGUUAGAUUGAGAUAUGAAAUUUUUAGCUUGGCAUAAGAGGAAGGAAGUUUGCAAUGAGCCAAUUUCACAUCGGCCGUCUACCAGAGAACUCUUGAAUAUAUUACUCGGUCCUAUAAAUUAGUAAAUCAUCUUCAACUAACACUUUUGUUAAUUGUGAAGCUCCAAACGGUGUCGUCUCUCUUUGUUGACUGGAUGGCUGCACGUGGCAACCAUCAGCUGACCCUCAGCUGGCGCCUGAUCAUGCUCCCUCAUCCUUUGCCCGAUCAUCUCCUGCUCUCCUGCUCCUCUCCCGUUUUCUGUUGGGAUUAUAAUCGUGCUUGCACGAUUUGAUCUGGUCAUUAAUCCUCACCUUUUUGAGGCGCAAUCCCAGCCGCUCUUGAUCGCUUUUAAUUGCUGCCUCGAGAUAUGAACUUGAGAGAGAGGCAAAAGAAAAAGUCGGAAGGAAAAUCAGAAAGGGUUUCUCUAUCGGGUUGGUUCUUGCGGGUUGAAGGCUCUCGCCUUCUGGCUAGGGUUCUUUCUGAUCGACAUGUUUUGUUCUGUCAUUAUGGCUGCUUUCUCAUUAGGACGGCAGGGCCUAGAUGUGAUGUAGAAAAAUGCUCCACCCGUUUGCAAGUGAAAUUAGGUCCCUUCGAUUAUCACACCACAGGCCAUGCAAACAUCUGGUGAUUUAACCUUCUCUUCAGGCAGAGUCAGGACCUUAGAUGAGAAGAGGAGUUAAAUGUUAUAGAACAUAGUAAUUUAUACAUAAAAUGAAGCGCAAUGAUGGGCAAUUUUAAAAGUUGGGGGUGGGGGAGGGGGAUUGCCCACCCUCGUGAAGCUGUAGCUCCGCCCUGUCUUCAGGAUGAAAUGGAACUCUAUCUCUAUUCCUUGAUUACAUGAACAAGAAGACUUGUUCCCAAGCUGGUUCAUUUAGAUGUUGCUUCUGCUGCAAGUGCAAGACGUUUCUCGCGGAAGGCCUGAUACUUGGAGACGAGCUUCUCACGAGGCG